AGGGCACUGGCCCCAGGUGCGGCGACAUCAGUGUCCUGGGGCUGCUUUUGAAGGACAAUGCUCUCCUGGAUGGGGAGGCGAGGAGCGAUGCUGAGGGGGAGGGGAGCCAGGAUGCAGAGAGCUUCUCACUGAGCACCUGCUCCGUGUCUGACCUCAUGCUGAGACCUGGGAAGGGUGCUGGGAUGGAGACAGACGUGGUCCCCACCUUCCUGGGGCUGGUGUUCUGGUCAACAAGAUGGGGACGACCAUCAACUAAACAACAGGUGAAAUGGUGAUGCAGCGAGGGGCACGCAGUGAAGAGCACGGACCGGGGCCACACAGAACUUCGCCUCCUCACUCACUCUUCCCAACCAGCCUAUUUUUACGAGAAGCUCCUCUGAUGAGUUCAUUUUACAGCCAAGAAACCUGAGGCCCAGAGAGGCAGGUCACUAGCUCCAGCCACAUGCCUGGAAACUGCAGAGCCAGGAUGCAAGCCCACAGCUGGCAGACACGACAGCUGUGGCUUGUCCCCCUGCCAUCCCACCCCUCGCUCGGUGGAUGAGGAGCUCUCCGUGGGCGAGGGGGACUCUAGUCCACCUUGGGGACCAAAGAACGGCUGCUUCCCUGUGCAGGAGGGGCUGUGGGGUCACGUGGCCCCAGGUCGCAAUUCUGCCUCCUCCGCUCACUUGCUGCAUGGUUCUGAGUGUGUUUACUGAUUCUCUGCCUCAGUUUCCUCUUCUGUAAAAUGGGAACGAUAUUGUCCACUUUGGAUGGCUGCUAUGAAGAUCAAAUCAGAAAAAGAUAUAAAGUGCCCAGCGUAGUCUAAAGCAGAGAGUAGGUGUUAAAAAUGUUCUCUGAGCACACAGUAGGUAUUUUUAAAGUUUGUUCCAUUUAUUCGGAGAAGGGCCUAUUUCCCCCAUCUCAUUUCAGAAGGUUUUUUCUUAACCACACAUGCAGGUGGAGGGAAGAACCCGCUGCCCAGAGGUGGGAGGAGGCUGAGGCUCAAACCCCAUGCUGUGCGGCUCUGUCAGGCUACUGAGCUUCUCUGACCCUCGGUCUCCUCAUCUGUGAAACUGGAACAUGACCCCCCUUAGAGGGCUGUCGUGAGGGUUGAAUGUGGUGACGUAAGUUGAGGGCCAAGUGUGGAGUUGGCAUAGAGUGGGCACUAAAUACGCCAGCUGCUUUGUUUGGAGAAAGGGCUUCUGUUCUGUCUUUGAGCCCAGAGACUUUUCUGGGUUUUAAAUGUGUGGUGAGACAGGAAAAGCAAUGAGGCCAGAAGCUGGAGGAUGCCGUGACGGGACUCUUUCCUCUGCCUUAGGCUUGCUGUUCACCUUGGGCAAGUCACUGCCCCUCCCUGACCCUCUGUCUCCUCGUCUAUAAGACGGAAAAUGGUGCUUAUUCCUAAACUAGAAGCCUUGGCGGGACCCAGUGGCCCGCCCAGGACACCCUAAAAAGGAAGGCAGAAUGAGGGGUUCUCCCUGCCAGGCCGAGUGAGCAGCCCGGAUUGAUAUGUGGAGAACUAACAGGCUUAUUUGGGAUGCACGGAAGGCUGGAACACUUAAUUCCUGAACAUGUUUACGUAAAAUUAAUUGCAUCACCUGUUCUCUGCAUCUUUUAAUUGCAAAACCAAUUAAGUUUCUAACGCUCAGCUUGCAGCCCAGGGGAAAGAAGGGCAGAGGCGAGGUGGCCUUUGCAGGCUCUGCACUUUUUCGGUGGCCACAGUGGCCCUGCGAGAGCCCCAGCAGCCCCCUAUCUGCUGGCGGGGGAGACCCCGUGGGACGUUGGAGGAGCCCAGAAGACAGACACGAGACUUGGAGCAGCGGGUCUGCGGGGGUCCCGGGUGGCUGCCCUCACGGCGGGAGCUGAGGGUCCAGGUCAGGCAGAGGCAGGACGUUCCCCGGUGGGGGCCACAGUGGGUCCACAUCAACUCCCCCUCCA
rnacentral:lncRNA from 1 species